GUAACACGUGUGCAACCAACCCCGUACCGGGAGAUAACCCGCGGAAACGUGGACUAACAUCCCAUGAGACUCGAGAGCCGCAUGGCUCUAGAUUUAAAAUUCCGGUGGUACGGGACGGGCACGCGCGACAUUAGGUAGUUGGCGGGGUAACGGCCCACCAAGCCGACGAUGUCUAGGGGUUCUGAGAGGAAGGUCCCCCACACUGGAACUGAGACACGGUCCAGACUCCUACGGGAGGCAGCAGUGAGGAAUAUUGGUCAAUGGGCGAGAGCCUGAACCAGCCAAGUCGCGUGAGGGAAGAAUGGUCUAUGGCCUGUAAACCUCUUUUGUCAGGGAAGAAUAAGGAUGACGAGUCAUUCGAUGCCAGUACUUGACGAAUAAGCAUUGGCUAACUCCGUGCCAGCAGCCGCGGUAAUACGGGGGAUGCGAGCGUUAUCCGGAUUUAUUGGGUUUAAAGGGCGCGUAGGCGGGACGGCAAGUCAGCGGUAAAAGACUGCAGCUAAACUGUAGCACGCCGUUGAAACUGUUGACCUCGAGACGAGACGAGGGAGGCGGAACAAGUGAAGUAGCGGUGAAAUGCAUAGAUAUCACUUGGAACCCCGAUAGCGAAGGCAGCUUCCCAGGCUCGUUCUGACGCUGAUGCGCGAGAGCGUGGGUAGCGAACAGGAUUAGAUACCCUGGUAGUCCACGCCGUAAACGAUGCUCACUGGAUCUUGGCGAUACACUGCCAGGGUUCAAGCGAAAGUAUUAAGUGAGCCACCUGGGGAGUACGUCGGCAACGAUGAAACUCAAAGGAAUUGACGGGGGCCCGCACAAGCGGAGGAACAUGUGGUUUAAUUCGAUGAUACGCGAGGAACCUUACCCGGGUUUAAAUGUAGAUUGCAUGAGGUGGAAACGCUUCUUCCCUUCGGGGCUAUUUACAAGGUGCUGCAUGGUUGUCGUCAGCUCGUGCCGUGAGGUGUCGGGUUAAGUCCCAUAACGAGCGCAACCCCUAUCGCCAGUUGCCAUCGGUUGAAGCCGGGCACUCUGUCGAGACUGCCACCGUAAGGUGCGAGGAAGGCGGGGAUGACGUCAAAUCAGCACGGCCCUUACACCCGGGGCGACACACGUGUUACAAUGGCCGGUACAGAGGGCAGCCACGGGGUGACCCGGAGCGAAUCUCUAAAGCCGGUCGUAGUUCGGACUGGAGUCUGCAACCCGACUCCACGAAGUUGGAUUCGCUAGUAAUCGCGCAUCAGC
rnacentral:rRNA from 1 species